GAUGAACGCUGGCGGCGUGCCUAAUACAUGCAAGUCGAGCGAACAGACGAGGAGCUUGCUCCUCUGACGUUAGCGGCGGACGGGUGAGUAACACGUGGAUAACCUACCUAUAAGACUGGGAUAACUUCGGGAAACCGGAGCUAAUACCGGAUAAUAUAUUGAACCGCAUGGUUCAAUAGUGAAAGACGGUUUUGCUGUCACUUAUAGAUGGAUCCGCGCCGCAUUAGCUAGUUGGUAAGGUAACGGCUUACCAAGGCAACGAUGCGUAGCCGACCUGAGAGGGUGAUCGGCCACACGGGAACUGAGACACGGUCCAGAGUCCUACGGGAGGCAGCAGUAGGGAAUCUUCCGCAAUGGGCGAAAGCUUGACGGAGCAACGCCGCGUGAGUGAUGAAGGUCUUCGGAGCGUAAAACUCUGUUAUUAGGGAAGAACAAAUGUGUAAGUAACUAUGCACGUCUUGACGGUACCUAAUCAGAAAGCCACGGCUAACUACGUG
rnacentral:rRNA from 1 species